GCCUACGGGGGGCAGCAGUCGAGAAUCAUUCACAAUGGGGGAAACCCUGAUGGUGCGACGCCGCGUGGGGGAAUGAAGGUCUUCGGAUUGUAAACCCCUGUCAUGUGGGAGCAAAUUAAAAAGAUAGUACCACAAGAGGAAGAGACGGCUAACUCUGUGCCAGCAGCCGCGGUAAUACAGAGGUCUCAAGCGUUGUUCGGAAUCACUGGGCGUAAAGCGUGCGUAGGCUGUUUCGUAAGUCGUGUGUGAAAGGCGCGGGCUCAACCCGCGGACGGCACAUGACACUGCGAGACUAGAGUAAUGGG
rnacentral:rRNA from 1 species